GACGAACGCUGGCGGCGUGCUUAACACAUGCAAGUCGAACGGAAAGGCCCUGCUUCUGUGGGGUGCUCGAGUGGCGAACGGGUGAGUAACACGUGAGUAACCUGCCCUUGACUUUGGGAUAACUUCAGGAAACUGGGGCUAAUACCGGAUAGGAGCUCCUGCUGCAUGGUGGGGGUUUGAAAGUUUCGGCGGUUGGGGAUGGACUCGCGGCUUAUCAGCUUGUUGGUGGGGUAGUGGCUUACCAAGGCUUUGACGGGUAGCCGGCCUGAGAGGGUGACCGGCCACAUUGGGACUGAGAUACGGCCCAGACUCCUACGGGAGGCAGCAGUGGGGAAUAUUGCACAAUGGGCGGAAGCCUGAUGCAGCAACGCCGCGUGCGGGAUGACGGCCUUCGGGUUGUAAACCGCUUUCGCCUGUGACGAAGCGUGAGUGACGGUAAUGGGUAAAGAAGCACCGGCUAACUACGUG
rnacentral:rRNA from 1 species